CCUUUCUCUCUCCUAUUUUUUAAUCUGAUACAAUUAGUAUUGGGCUAGUCCAAUUAGAGAAUUAUACUAUAAAUAGGAAUAUGAUGUAAUAAUGGAGGGAGGCAUGGUGUAAUUGGAAACUCUACUUUCUCUCUUUGGCCCUAAUUCUAGGGAUUUCUCUUCUAUUCUCUCUGAUUAUCUCUAAUUCUCUCUAGUGCUUGAUACAAAUUCGUAUCAAAUGGUGCUUUCAUUGAACACCAUGCCAAAUUCCU